rnacentral:rRNA from 1 species
GGGGAAUAUUGCACAAUGGGGGAAACCCUGAUGCAGCGACGCCGCGUGAGUGAAGAAGUAUUUCGGUAUGUAAAGCUCUAUCAGCAGGGACGAAAGGGGGCGUAAGCUCCUGUGACGGUACCUGACUAAGAAGCCCCGGCUAACUACGUGCCAGCAGCCGCGGUAAUACGUAGGGGGCAAGCGUUAUCCGGAUUUACUGGGUGUAAAGGGAGCGUAGGUGGUUCGGUAAGUCAGAUGUGAAAGCCCGGGGCUCAACCCCGGGACUGCAUUUGAAACUAUCGGACUAGAGUGCAGGAGAGGUAAGUGGAAUUCCUAGUGUAGCGGUGAAAUGCGUAGAUAUUAGGAGGAACACCAGUGGCGAAGGCGGCUUACUGGACUGUAACUGACACUGAGGCUCGAAAGCGUGGGGAGCAAAC